rnacentral:rRNA from 1 species
CGAGUUUGAUCAUGGCUCAGAAUCAACGCUGGCGGCGUGCCUCAGACAUGCAAGUCGAACGAUUAAGACUUCCUUCGGGAAGUGCAUAAAGUGGCGCACGGGUGAGUAACACGUAAGUAAUCUACCCUCGAGUGGGGUAUAACGUUCGGAAACGGACGCUAAUACCGCAUAACGCAGCGGCACCGCAAGGUGACAGUUGUUAAAGGAGCAAUCCGCUUGAGGAGGAGCUUGCGGCAGAUUAGCUAGUUGGUAAGGUAAUGGCUUACCAAGGCUACGAUCUGUAUCCGGUCUAAGAGGACGGUCGGACACACUGACACUGAAUAACGGGUCAGACUCCUACGGGAGGCAGCAGUCGGGAAUUUUGGGCAAUGGGCGAAAGCCUGACCCAGCAACGCCGCGUGAAGGAUGAAGUAUUUCGGUAUGUAAACUUCGAAAGAAUAGGAAGAAUAAAUGACGGUACUAUUUAUAAGCUCCGGCUAACUACGUG